CUUGCCAGAGCCUACAGAGAACUCCCUUUUAGAGAGUAGACAGAACUCAGACAUAACCAUAGCCUCACAGAUGGAGAAACCAAGCAGGCUCUGCAAGUGUUGACCGAGGGCGGCGGAGCGGCAGUUCCCAUGAGCAAAUAUUGACACAUUUCCUGAUCAUUAAAGCAGAAAGUCCGACUGAAAGAGGACAUUCUGUCCCUUCUCUG
rnacentral:lncRNA from 1 species